rnacentral:rRNA from 1 species
GCAGCCGCGGUAAUUCCAGCUCCAAUAGCGUAUAUUAAAGUUGUUGCAGUUAAAAAGCUCGUAGUUGAAUUUCGGGAUUAGUAGGUUGGUCGUGCCUCUGGUAUGUACUGGCUUUACUGGUUCCUCCUUCUUGAAGAACUGUAAUGUCAUUAAUUUGGUGUUGCAGGGAAACAGGACUGUUACUUUGAAAAAAUUAGAGUGUUUAAAGCAGGCUAACGCUUGAAUACAUUAGCAUGGAAUAAUGAAAUAGGACGUUUGAUCCUAUUUUGUUGGUUUCUAGGAUUGACGUAAUGAUUAAUAGGGAUAGUUGGG